UACGGAGGAUCCAAGCGUUAUCCGGAUUUAUUGGGUUUAAAGGGUGCGUAGGUGGCUUUUUAAGUCAGGGGUGAAAGACGGUAGCUUAACUAUCGCAGUGCCUUUGAUACUGAAGAGCUUGAAUGAACUAGAGGUAGGCGGAAUGUGACAAGUAGCGGUGAAAUGCAUAGAUAUGUCACAGAACACCGAUUGCGAAGGCAGCUUACUAUGGUUUUAUUGACACUGAGGCACGAAAGCGUGGGGAGUCGAAACA
rnacentral:rRNA from 1 species